GCUCUUGGAUCCCGAUACAGCCCUCGAAUGAGCCUGCAACAUUUUUCUUAUAUGAUCAGGUUCUAUUACUGCUUGCUGGGAGUCUGAGAUGAUUAUGGCAGUUGAAGUGGGCCAGGGACCCAGAGC
ensembl:snoRNA